ACAAACAAUGACAAAGUAUUAAGGCUGGUACUGCCACCGCCAGUCUAGGCCCUAGUGUUUAGCAUACUUUCGGAUCACUGACAGUUUCGAGUUUUCUCGGGCGUGGUUUCUAUCCCAUGAAUUUAACUUGACGUAUAAUGGAUAAAAAUUUCAGUAACAUCUUGAGUUCAUAUCAUCAAGUUCAAUAAUUGGUCAUUACAGCAUUACUCCAUUUUGCCAAGUAAUUUCUGCUAGAUAGAGCUGUCAUCAAAAUGUUUAUAAAGUUUAUCAAUUUAUUACUUACUGGAGUUUUGCUACUGUGUCUUCCAGUCAUCGCUAUCACAGAUAUUUUGUCACCAACAAUGGAUGUGACCAUUACACACGAUAUUUUCUGUGACCCAGAAUGUCAAAAUAAUGGUACUUGUGUGCUUGGGAAGUGCUCCUGUCCACAGGGUUUCACUGGUUUAUCGUGUGAAGAU